GCCCUUCUUCCCCACGCCGCCACCUCCCAUCCACCCCAGCAAACAGAUGCCGCCUAAGAUCUUUCGCCCAGCCAGGCUUGAGAGCUAAUGCUGCUAAUUCCUUCCUUGGAUGUCUGAGCCAUAUGAAUAUCCUCAUACUUUGUUGUCUUCUGCUCGAUGUUUCAUCAUGUAAUGUGGGGAGCACUGUUUGAAUGUUCGGCUGCUGUUGUAGCAUCUGAGUUAACAACGCUCCUGAGAUGUAGUUCAGGUGGCUUUUAAAGCACAAAUCCGUCCAGAUGGAUCUUGGGUUACGCUCGCCCCCAAAUUGCAGUUUAAACUCUGUUUUGUUGUUGUUGAUGAGUCAAUUGAUCCUUCUUUGGUGCAGUGAUUAUAAAACAUUCCUCGUACUGACGGGAAAUCCCUGUGAACGACAUCUAUACACCCAUAGAAUCUGAGCAUCAAUGGACACUAUUUCUUGUUUCAAUGCGUAUUAUUAUGUUAUUUCUUCUUUGUUUUCACUGAGAGUUGCGUUAUGAUUUUUAUGGAACAAUCUAGUUAGAUGUGAUUGGGCAGCAGUGAUAUCUUUGUGAAUGACUCCCAUAGAAUCUGAGCACCAAUACCGCAUUGCUGUUUAAUUAUUUUUGUUUAAAAUGCAGUUUUUUAAUUUUGACCAGGAGAUGCUUUUCCAUUAGCAAGUCUGCUAGCAGAUUAUUUAGAAACUGAAGCCCUGCUCAGUUCUGUGUACUCACGACCUAGGCAGCACAACUGGAGAAUCAUUCCAAAUACCAGUAUACUGCUCAUUUUCAGUGAGGUCCAUUGCUAUGUUGUCAUGCAUUUGUGUCUGUAAAACCGUCCAUCAAAUGUACUUCCAUUUUGUAAUAGAGAUGAUGUAUUGAGAUUUCUCACUAGUUUAGUGAUCUAUGCUGAUGAAUUUCAA